GAUGAACGCUGGCGGCGUGCCUAAUACAUGCAAGUCGAGCGAACGGACGAGAAGCUUGCUUCUCUGAUGUUAGCGGCGGACGGGUGAGUAACACGUGGAUAACCUACCUAUAAGACUGGGAUAACUUCGGGAAACCGGAGCUAAUACCGGAUAAUAUUUUGAACCGCAUGGUUCAAAAGUGAAAGACGGUCUUGCUGUCACUUAUAGAUGGAUCCGCGCUGCAUUAGCUAGUUGGUAAGGUAACGGCUUACCAAGGCAACGAUGCAUAGCCGACCUGAGAGGGUGAUCGGCCACACUGGAACUGGGACACGGUCCAGACUCCUACGGGAGGCAGCAGUAGGGAAUCUUCCGCAGUGGGCGAAAGCCUGACGGAGCAACGCCGCGUGAGUGAUGAAGGUCUUCGGAUCGUAAAACUCUGUUAUUAGGGAAGAACAUAUGUGUAAGUAACUGUGCACAUCUUGACGGUACCUAAUCAGAAAGCCACGGCUAACUACGUG
rnacentral:rRNA from 1 species